rnacentral:rRNA from 1 species
CCUACGGGUGGCAGCAGUCGAGAAUCAUUCACAAUGGGGGAAACCCUGAAGGAGCGACGCCGCGUGGGGGAAUGAAGCUCUUCGGAUUGUAAACCCCUGUCAUGUGGGAGCAAAUUAAAAAGAUAGUACCACAAGAGGAAGAGACGGCUAACUCUGUGCCAGCAGCCGCGGUAAUACAGAGGUCUCAAGCGUUGUUCGGAAUCACUGGGCGUAAAGCGUGCGUAGGCUGUUUCGUAAGUCGUGUGUGAAAGGCGCGGGCUCAACCCCCGGACGGCACAUGAUACUGGGAGACUAGAGUAAAGGAGGGGGAACCGGAAUUCGCGGUGUAGCAGUGAAAUGCGUAGAUAGCGAGAGGAACACUCGUGGCGAAGGCAGGUUCCUGGACAUUAACUGACGCUGAGGCACGAAGGCCAGGGGAGCGAAAGGGAUUAGAUACCCGAGUAGUC